GAGGGUACAGCUCAGUGGUAGAGGGCAUGCCUAGCAUGCACAAGGUCCUGGGUUCAAUCCCCAGUAUCUCCA
rnacentral:tRNA from 1 species